CGUUCGCUGCCCGCGACGUCGCGAGAAGUCCCAUGAACCUUAUCAUUUAGAGGAAGGAGAAGUCGUAACAAGGUUUCCGUAGGUGAACCUGCGGAAGGAUCAU
rnacentral:rRNA from 1 species